rnacentral:misc_RNA from 1 species
GAUGAAGAACGCAGCGAAAUGCGAUAAGUAAUGCGAAUUGCAGAAUUCAGUGAAUCAUCGAAUCUUUGAACGCACAUUGCGCCCGCCAGUAUUCUGGCGGGCAUGCCUGUCCGAGCGUCAUUUCAACCCUCGAGCCCCUCCGGGGGGUCGGCGUUGGGGAUCGGCCCUCCCUCGCGGGGGCCGCCCCCGAAAUGCAGUGGCGGUCCCGCCGCAGCCUCUCCUGCGCAGUAGUUUGCACAACUCGCACCGGGAGCGCGGCGGGCCCACGCCGUAAAACGCCACAACCUUCUGGAAAUGUUGACCUCGGAUCAGGUAGGAAUACCCGCUGAACUUAAGCAUAUCAAUAAGCGGAGGA